CUACCCUACUUCUUUCAUCAACAACAUUGGUGACAUAGAAAGAAUAGACUUCUUCAUGAGUAAACCUGUUUUCCUGUAAAGUCUUUGUCCAUGCCUGCAUUCUGGAGGACAUGUAUUCUGGUACAGACAUAUGAUCAGUUUCGAUGAAGUCAGGCAUUAGGACUAUACUAUACUAUUAUACAUAAAAAAAGAAUAAUAUUUCCCUAAGAAAAUUAUUUGUCGAGACUUUCGUCCAUCAUGUUCAAAAUAAUGAGUUAGAGUCUGCACUGUAUUCAGAAUUCGUCAAUUGCGACUUGACUUAAUCACAUAAAUGUGAACGGACACACAUACACACACAUAACCACAUAUAUAAACACAAGAUACCUAUAGACACUUUAAUAUAUAGUUAAAUAUUUACAACUUAAAUUUGAUGAAUGGUAAAAUAAGAAACGCACGCAUCAACAGUUUCGUCGCCAAUCACACAUGCGCAAAUACAUGUGAAAUGAUUCAUCAACGGUGUGAUUAUAAGUAGUCAUCUUUGCUUAUUAAAGUUGUCGUGUUCGCCGCAUUAAGUAUGUUUGCACUUCAUUAUCAACUUUAUACUGUGACGCCAGAGAAGUAAUAAACAUGUAUGAAAUAAAGGCGAGCCUAGUGAUGCAUGUCGAUACAUAACGUAAGCAACAUAACAACAAGAGAAGCGGCUGCGGAACAAAAGUCAACAAUAAUAACAACAAAGACUGACAACACGUGCUGUCAAGCACAAAAUAACAGCAUCCAAAUCCUGUUAUCUGACUGGGUGAAAAAUAUCAAACUUUAAACCUCUAACUUUUUUUAAAAUUCUUCUGGAAAAGUGACACACCCCCAGAAAUUCAACUUGGAAAACUACA